rnacentral:tRNA from 1 species
GCCGGGUUGGUGGAACGGCAUACACAGAAGCCUCAAAAGCUUCCGCCCGAAAGGGCUUGCGGGUUCGAAUCCCGCACCCGGCA